rnacentral:lncRNA from 1 species
CAUCAACCAUUAACCAUCAACCAUCAUCGACUCUUACGCAUUUAAUGAAAAUGUUUUUUAUAAAUUAUUACGAGGUCUUAAACGAAUUUUUCAAUGUGGUUUAAUUUUUGAUUCUAUUUGUGUAAAGAUUUCCAUCUAUCGGUUAAAAUGGCGUGGUUCAUUAGCGUCAUGAAGAUGGCGUCAUCUGUCCAUCAAUCCAUCAUCAACCUCAUCGUUAAUUUACAAAUACAAACAAGAAAAAAAAUCGAUUUUGAAUCGUUUUUAUGUCAAGCAGACGCCAAGCAUCUUUGAAUAGCGUGGUCUGUGCUCUAUGAUAAGUGUUACUGCUGGAGUGAGCAAUUUCAGCGUCAUGAUGGCGUGCCCCGUUAGCGUCAUGAUGGCGUGCCCCGUUAGCGUCAUGGUUGGCGUGCCCUGUUAGCGUCAUGGUUGGCGUGCCCUAUGUAAGCGUCGUGAUUGGCGUGCCCUGUGUUAACACAAUAUGCUUUCUUUAUUCGUGUGCUGUGAUUUCAACACCAGCAUUGGUCAGAGGAGACUCGCAAGCAGCAAGCUAGAACCUCUUCAUCAGCCAGAAGCUUGCUACAAAGAAGUACACAGUUCAGGGGCUGCACAGAUGUGCAACAAUUUUAUCGAGCCAUGGCAUCUGAGUGUGAUGGUGCCCUGUCAAUUUAUAAUAUGCCAACCCCUAACUAGCCUAGGAGUAAACAGGUUGAUUUGCAUUAUUUGGAUCUUCUCUAACAGAAAUCAACUGAGGACCACCAGACAGCAUCUUAACAGACGAGCUCUUCUAGUAAAAUUUUGAGUGAUGAUGGAGAUUGGGGUUGGUUUGCCCCUCCGAAGUCACGAAAGGAUUAUUCUGCAUCGUAUUUUUCAAUAUUGCAGCCUACGACAAGCGUGUUGAAGUUGAAGAACAUUUACCAGAGCAAAAAGUACUGAAAGAUAAGUCUGCUGUAACCAUAGAUUCGCACAAUAGUUUAGAGCUACGGGUAGUAGUAUUUUCUCUACCGGGUUGGUUACUAUUCACGUUCUUCAGCAAUCAGAUCCAUGCAGUGCUUGCUAAAUCCGUGCAGGUUUCAAGUGAAGCGAAAACGGACAAAUUACCAAACUGGAAUCAGCGCAAGCGACAGCUCUUAUGCAAGAAGUCGUACCUACCCUCACAAGUUUGUUUGAAGUGCAUAAUGGAAUUAUACAUCUCCAACAAAUAAGUCUUCUAAUCCUGUGGCAGGCGCACGGUUGAAAGCCGAAAAUUUCAAAAGGUACAAGUUGGCAUUAAACGCUUUGUGUUUCCUCAUUAAGGUUGAAAGGCAUUGCACCAUAGACCACGCUAUUGAUGACGCUUGAUGUGUUGGCGUCUGCUAUGUGUGUGAAUCAAUUUGAAAUGAAAAUGAUUCAAAAUUGAAUUCUUACAGAUCAAAUGUAACGAAAAUU